GCGAGAGUUUACGUGAUUUUGUGUGUUGUUUUUUCACCUCAACUGCCGAGUACUGAGGGAAGCUCAGGAAGCUCUGAAGAUACAGCAUGGCCAGCACAUCCUCACUCUCCACAAAGAAUGCAGUGACAUAUGAGGAUGUGCAUGUGAACUUUACUCGGGAAGAAUGGGCUUUGCUGGAUCCUUCCCAGAAGAGUCUCUACAAGGAUGUGAUGCUGGAGACCUACAGGACCCUCAGAGCUAUAGG
rnacentral:lncRNA from 1 species